rnacentral:rRNA from 1 species
ACGGUCCUAAGGUAGCGAAAUUCCUUGUCGGGUAAGUUCCGACCUGCACGAAAGGUGUAAUGAUUUGGGCACUGUCUCAACGAGAGACUCGGUGAAAUUAUAAUACCCGUGAAGAUGCGGGUUACCCGCGACAGGACGGAAAGACCCCAUGGAGCUUUACUGUAGCUUGAUAUUGAGUAUUUGUUAAACAUGUACAGGAUAGGUAGGAGCCAGAGAAAGUAGGACGCUAGUCUUACUGGAGGCAAUGUUGGGAUACUACCCUUGUUUGAUGGAUCCUCUAACUCGCAGAGCUGAGCGUUCUGGAGGACAGUGUCAGGUGGGCAGUUUGACUGGGGCGGUCGCCUCCUAAAAUGUAACGGAGGCGCCCAAAGGUUCCCUCAGAAUGGUUGGAAAUCAUUCGCAGAGUGUAAAGGUAUAAGGGAGCUUGACUGCGAGAGGUACACCUCGAGCAGGGACGAAAGUCGGGCUUAGUGAUCUGGUGGUACUGCAUGGAAAGGCCAUCACUCAACGGAUAAAAGCUACCCUGGGGAUAACAGGCUUAUCUCCCCCAAGAGUUCACAUCGACGGGGAGGUUUGGCACCUCGAUGUCGGCUCGUCGCAUCCUGGGGCUGAAGUCGGUCCCAAGGGUUGGGCUGUUCGCCCAUUAAAGCGGCACGCGAGCUGGGUUCAGAACGUCGUGAGACAGUUCGGUCCCUAUCCGUCGUGGGCGUAGGAAAUUUGAGAGGAGCUGUCCUUAGUACGAGAGGACCGGGAUGGACAUACCGCUGGUGUACCAGUUGUCUUGCCAAAGGCAUCGCUGGGUAGCUAUGUAUGGAAGGGAUAAGCGCUGAAAGCAUCUAAGUGCGAAGCCCCCCUCAAGAUGAGAUUUCCGAUGCGCAAGCAGUAAGACACCUUAAAGACGAUGAGGUAGAUAGGCUAGGAGUGGAAGCAUAGCGAUAUGUGGAGCGGACUAGUACUAAUCAGUCGAGCACUUGACCAA